CGGGACACGUGGUAUCCUGUCUGAAUAUGGGGGGACCAUCCUCCAAGGCUAAAUACUCCUGACUGACCGAUAGUGAACCAGUACCGUGAGGGAAAGGCGAAAAGAACCCCGGCGAGGGGAGUGAAAAAGAACCUGAAACCGUGUACGUACAAGCAGUGGGAGCACGCUUAGGCGUGUGACUGCGUACCUUUUGUAUAAUGGGUCAGCGACUUAUAUUCUGUAGCAAGGUUAACCGAAUAGGGGAGCCGAAGGGAAACCGAGUCUUAACUGGGCGUUAAGUUGCAGGGUAUAGACCCGAAACCCGGUGAUCUAGCCAUGGGCAGGUUGAAGGUUGGGUAACACUAACUGGAGGACCGAACCGACUAAUGUUGAAAAAUUAGCGGAUGACUUGUGGCUGGGGGUGAAAGGCCAAUCAAACCGGGAGAUAGCUGGUUCUCCCCGAAAGCUAUUUAGGUAGCGCCUCGUGAAUUCAUCUCCGGGGGUAGAGCACUGUUUCGGCAAGGGGGUCAUCCCGACUUACCAACCCGAUGCAAACUGCGAAUACCGGAGAAUGUUAUCACGGGAGACACACGGCGGGUGCUAACGUCCGUCGUGAAGAGGGAAACAACCCAGACCGCCAGCUAAGGUCCCAAAGUCAUGGUUAAGUGGGAAACGAUGUGGGAAGGCCCAGACAGCCAGGAUGUUGGCUUAGAAGCAGCCAUCAUUUAAAGAAAGCGUAAUAGCUCACUGGUCGAGUCGGCCUGCGCGGAAGAUGUAACGGGGCUAAACCAUGCACCGAAGCUGCGGCAGCGACGCUGAUGCGUUGUUGGGUAGGGGAGCGUUCUGUAAGCCUGUGAAGGUGUGCUGUGAGGCAUGCUGGAGGUAUCAGAAGUGCGAAUGCUGACAUAAGUAACGAUAAAGCGGGUGAAAAGCCCGCUCGCCGGAAGACCAAGGGUUCCUGUCCAACGUUAAUCGGGGCAGGGUGAGUCGACCCCUAAGGCGAGGCCGAAAGGCGUAGUCGAUGGGAAACAGGUUAAUAUUCCUGUACUUGGUGUUACUGCGAAGGGGGGACGGAGAAGGCUAUGUUGGCCGGGCGACGGUUGUCCCGGUUUAAGCGUGUAGGCUGGUUUUCCAGGCAAAUCCGGAAAAUCAAGGCUGAGGCGUGAUGACGAGGCACUACGGUGCUGAAGCAACAAAUGCCCUGCUUCCAGGAAAAGCCUCUAAGCAUCAGGUAACAUCAAAUCGUACCCCAAACCGACACAGGUGGUCAGGUAGAGAAUACCAAGGCGCUUGAGAGAACUCGGGUGAAGGAACUAGGCAAAAUGGUGCCGUAACUUCGGGAGAAGGCACGCUGAUAUGUAGGUGAAGCGACUUGCUCGUGGAGCUGAAAUCAGUCGAAGAUACCAGCUGGCUGCAACUGUUUAUUAAAAACACAGCACUGUGCAAACACGAAAGUGGACGUAUACGGUGUGACGCCUGCCCGGUGCCGGAAGGUUAAUUGAUGGGGUCAGCGCAAGCGAAGCUCUUGAUCGAAGCCCCGGUAAACGGCGGCCGUAACUAUAACGGUCCUAAGGUAGCGAAAUUCCUUGUCGGGUAAGUUCCGACCUGCACGAAUGGCGUAAUGAUGGCCAGGCUGUCUCCACCCGAGACUCAGUGAAAUUGAACUCGCUGUGAAGAUGCAGUGUACCCGCGGCAAGACGGAAAGACCCCGUGAACCUUUACUAUAGCUUGACACUGAACAUUGAGCCUUGAUGUGUAGGAUAGGUGGGAGGCUUUGAAGUGUGGACGCCAGUCUGCAUGGAGCCGGCCUUGAAAUACCACCCUUUAAUGUUUGAUGUUCUAACGUUGACCCGUGAUCCGGGUUGCGGACAGUGUCUGGUGGGUAGUUUGACUGGGGCGGUCUCCUCCUAAAGAGUAACGGAGGAGCACGAAGGUUGGCUAAUCCUGGUCGGACAUCAGGAGGUUAGUGCAAUGGCAUAAGCCAGCUUGACUGCGAGCGUGACGGCGCGAGCAGGUGCGAAAGCAGGUCAUAGUGAUCCGGUGGUUCUGAAUGGAAGGGCCAUCGCUCAACGGAUAAAAGGUACUCCGGGGAUAACAGGCUGAUACCGCCCAAGAGUUCAUAUCGACGGCGGUGUUUGGCACCUCGAUGUCGGCUCAUCACAUCCUGGGGCUGAAGUAGGUCCCAAGGGUAUGGCUGUUCGCCAUUUAAAGUGGUACGCGAGCUGGGUUUAGAACGUCGUGAGACAGUUCGGUCCCUAUCUGCCGUGGG
rnacentral:rRNA from 1 species